rnacentral:rRNA from 1 species
UACGUAGGGGGCAAGCGUUGUCCGGAUUUAUUGGGCGUAAAGAGCGUGUAGGCGGCUUGGUAGGUCCGCUGUGAAAACUCGAGGCUCAACCUCGAGAUGUCGGCGGAAACCACUUGGCUAGAGUCCGGAAGAGGAGAGUGGAAUUCCCGGGUGUAGCGGUGAAUGCGCAGAUAUCGGGAAGAACACCUAUGGCGAAGGCAGCUUGCUGGGACGUUACUGACGCUAAGG